rnacentral:tRNA from 1 species
UGGCGAUUGGUGUAAUCGGUAGCACGACGGUUUCUGGUUCCGUUAGUCCAAGUUCGAGUCUUGGAUCGCCAA